AACGAACGCUGGCGGCAUGCCUAACACAUGCAAGUCGAACGAGACCUUCGGGUCUAGUGGCGCACGGGUGCGUAACGCGUGGGAAUCUGCCCUUGGGUUCGGGAUAACAGUUGGAAACGACUGCUAAUACCGAAUGAUGACUUCGGUCCAAAGAUUUAUCGCCCAGGGAUGAGCCCGCGUCGGAUUAGCUUGUUGGUGAGGUAAAGGCUCACCAAGGCGACGAUCCGUAGCUGGUCUGAGAGGAUGAUCAGCCACACUGGGACUGAGACACGGCCCAGACUCCUACGGGAGGCAGCAGUGGGGAAUAUUGGACAAUGGGCGAAAGCCUGAUCCAGCAAUGCCGCGUGAGUGAUGAAGGCCUUAGGGUUGUAAAGCUCUUUUACCCGGGAAGAUAAUGACUGUACCGGGAGAAUAAGCCCCGGCUAACUCCGUGCCAGCAGCCGCCGUAA
rnacentral:rRNA from 1 species